AUCAUUUGAAGCUGUCUUUCUGCUACAGGCAGCACUCGUUUGUGAAUACUCAUGCAUGUUGUUAUAACUGCAUAUACAAUCGCGGUCACCUUACAUAUACCACAGCUAGAGUUCACAGGCGCGUAAGUCCAGCGGGAGGUGUGUUGAAGAGCUAAGUGGUACACCUGUAGUGCUUUUCAGAAACGAAGGCAAGAAUGCGUGUGUUUCUACUAUUGUCAUAUGUGGUUCUUCGGACAAUUUCAUGGAUGAUAUUGAGCGUGUUGUGGUGAUGGUGUAAAUAACUUCAAGUUUUUGGCAGGUGACGUCGUUAUGUGUCUGGUGCUGGUGCCACUGAAAUCGACUUUGCUUCCGAACUGGCUGUCUCCUUACAUGGUCUAGAACAGUACGCUGUACGUAGAUCUACGAUCAAGUCCUCGCAAUUUCCGUCUACAAGGGACGUUUUUGGUUUCUGCGCAAGUUCAAAGUCGAAUCAAUGCAGCGUUCCAACACCCAUACGAGCCACUUUCCG